rnacentral:snRNA from 1 species
UCAUGCUCAGCUUUGGCAGCACAUAAACUAGAAUGAUGCAGAGAAGAUUAGCAUGGCCCCUGUGCAAGGAUGACACAAAUUCGUGAAGUGGUCCAUAUUUUU